GUUGCCAUUCAAGGCAGAAUGAAUGCAAGGAGAUAUUUUUUUUUUAUUUUUUUUGCUUGCAUUCAUUCUGCCUCGAAUGGCAAC